GCACAAGCGGUGGAGCAUGUGGUUUAAUUCGAUGCAACGCGAAGAACCUUACCUGGUCUUGACAUCCACAGAACUUUCCAGAGAUGGAUUGGUGCUCGAAAGAGAACGCUAACACAGGUGCUGCAUGGCUGUCGUCAGCUCGUGUCGUGAGAUGUUGGGUUAAGUCCCGCAACGAGCGCAACCCUUGCCAUUAAUUGCCAUCAUUUAGUUGGGCACUUUAAUGGGACUGCCGGUGACAAACCGGAGGAAGGUGGGGAUGACGUCAAGUCCUCAUGGCCCUUAUGGCCAGGGCUUCACACGUAAUACAAUGGUCGGUACAGAGGGUUGCCAAGCCGCGAGGUGGAGCCAAUCCCAGAAAGCCGAUCGUAGUCCGGAUUGUAGUCUGCAACUCGACUACAUGAAGUCGGAAUCGCUAGUAAUCGCGGAUCAGCAUGUCGCGGUGAAUACGUUCCCGGGCCUU
rnacentral:rRNA from 1 species